GACGAACGCUGGCGGCGUGCUUAACACAUGCAAGUCGAACGGUAAGGCCCUUCGGGGUACACGAGUGGCGAACGGGUGAGUAACACGUGGGUGAUCUGCCCUGCACUUCGGGAUAAGACUGGGAAACUGGGUCUAAUACCGGAUAGGACUCCUGGCUUCAUGGUGGGGGGUGGAAAGCUUUUGCGGUGUGGGAUGGGCCCGCGGCCUAUCAGCUUGUUGGUGGGGUAAUGGCCUACCAAGGCGACGACGGGUAGCCGGCCUGGGAGGGUGACCGGUCACACUGGGACUGAGAUACGGCCCAGACUCCUACGGGAGGCAGCAGUGGGGAAUAUUGCACAAUGGGCGCAAGCCUGAUGCAGCGACGCCGCGUGAGGGAUGACGGCCUUCGGGUUGUAAACCUCUUUCAGCUAUGACGAAGCGCAAGUGACGGUAGUAGCAGAAGAAGGACCGGCCAACUACGUGCCAGCCGCCGCUGUAA
rnacentral:rRNA from 1 species